AAAACAGACGCGUUUGAUUCAGAGGAGGUGAAAGUAGAUGAACAGGUGAACCUUUGGUGUAAAAGUAGAACCGAUUUAACCCCUUUAAAGUCCAGUUUCUGAAGCAGCCUCAGGGUUAAAGGUCA